rnacentral:rRNA from 1 species
GGAUUAGAUACCCUGGUAGUCCACGCCGUAAACGAUGUCAACUAGUUGUUGGUCUUAUUAAAAAGAUUAGUGACGCAGCUAACGCGUUAAGUUGACCGCCUGGGGAGUACGGUCGCAAGACUAAAACUCAAAUGAAUUGACGGGGGCCCGCACAAGCGGUGGAGCAUGUGGUUUAAUUCGAUGCAACGCGAAGAACCUUACCAGGUCUUGACAUCCAGAGAAUCUUUUAGAGAUAGAAGAGUGCCUUCGGGAAUUCUGAGACAGGUGCUGCAUGGCUGUCGUCAGCUCGUGCUG